CUCAGCCUACUAACUCCUCACGUGCGUGAAGUAGAUCAUCAACAUCAACCUACCUAAAAGCUGAUCGGUCUAGAUCCGCCUUAUCCAGCAGAGGGCGCACUACCACGUGGAUUCGCUUCACGUGUGAUGCUCCGGUUCCUUUGAUUGGAGCGUGUCGCGGCUGUUUUUCUUGAGGCGUGACUUGGUGGUUGUCUCCAAAAUCUGACCGCAGUAAAUCUUUUGGAGUUGUCCCUGAAGGAUAACAAGACAGCUUGACUUUAGUGUCCCCAUCGUCUGCAUUUGACACCAUUGCUCAACCAGUACCUCAAGGAAACCUGUCAGGAGUAGUGGGCAACCGCAGUGCAGACCCAUUUCCACGUCCCGAGUUGGGAUCUUGGACUCGGAGUACUUCGCUGGAGGUUUUAGCCUAUGUGCAUGUUGGUGGAAACUGGAGCGCAGAGGAAACCCACCUUGUCACAUGGAAACCGUGCAAGUAUGACAGAGAAAGGCCUCAGCCAUUUUAGCUUUAGAC
rnacentral:lncRNA from 1 species